AGCACACUGCACAAAUGCUAAUUAUAAGCAUCCUGUUAUUAAUAUGUAAAUACCUCUUUACUAUAUUUCUGGAACACCAGCAGUCGCAGUUGCCAUACUGUAUCUCAAACAAGGAUUGCUUCUCAGAAUGAUGGCUGAAUUCACUGAACUAAAACACCAUUGCUAUUCCCAAGACUUUAGGGUUAAGAAUCUUGGACAGUCCCCAUCAGUAUCUGAAGAGACAUAAAGGUCAAGAAUAUGACCUUUGGCUGAGAAGGAACAGAACAAAAAGAGGGAAUUGUUACCUAAUAUGAAUAAGAAGAUAGAAUAGAGCAACUAGCUGUGCCUGGUGAUUUUAAGCCACCUGACUCAGAUGAACUACAUCCUUAGAUACUGAAAGAACUAGAAGAUAAGAAUUACAAAUCAUUUUUUAUUAUAUUUGAAGCAUUGUGGUAAAUGGGCAAGGAACUACAAUAUUAGAGUAAAAAAAAAUGUUAGCCCAAGUUUCAAAAAAAAAGAGAAGAGUAUAAAGUCUAUAAAUUAUGUCACUGAAUUUGACUUCAGCUCCUAGAAAAAUUACUGAAUAUAGCAUCAAGUUGACUAGUAGUUAUCUCCAUUAGGAGAGGAAGCAAUGGUUACAAAGGAAUCAGAAUGCCUUCCUUAAAAAAUAGAUCAGGCUGGAUUUGAACUUAGAAAGAUGAGUCUUCUGGACUCUAGGCCUGGUAUUUUAUCCACCAUGCAUCCUAUCAACUUAAGAGAUAUGGGCUAAAUAGAUUAGAUUGCAGGUAGAUUUGGAGCUGGUUGAAUAACCAGGUUUAUAGAGUAGUCAUUGAUGUUUUCAUGUCAGUUUAAAAAGAAUCUCUAACAAAAUGAUAACAAAAUUCAUUUGGAAAAACAGAAGGUCAAGAAUGUAAAAGGAAUCAAUGGAAAAAAAUGCAAAGGAAGGAGAUUUAGCAGUACCAGAUCUUAAGCUAUAUUAUAAGAAAGACAGUAAUUGUUAAAAUUAUCUUGCACUGGUUAAGAAAUAGAAAGGUUGAACAGUAGAAUACACUAGACAUGCAGCUACAGUGGCAAACAAAUAUAGUUACCCAGUGUUUGACACAGCAAAGAUAAAAUACAGUUGCUCUUCUCAGUUCCCAAUUUCUCAAUUGUAAAGGGUUAAGUUUUUGGGAUAUCAAUCCAUUGUUUAAUAAAAAUUGUUGGUAAAACUGGAAAGAGAGCUGGCAGAAAUUGGAUAUAGACCAAUACCUUACACCAUUAUAAAGGAAGAUAUUACAAGAAAAUUUGAAGAAUAUGAAACAUAUUACUAUCAGAUUUAUGAAUAAGUGAAUAAUUUAUGAACAAACAAGAGAUAGAGUAAUGUGAUAUGUAAAAGGAAUAAUUGCGAUUACAUUAAAUUAAAAAGGCUUUGUACAAAUAAAACAAAUGUAACCUAGAUCAUAAGGAAAGAAGAAAACUGAGGGAAAAAAAUGUAUAGACAAUUACUCAGAUAAAAGUCUCAUCUUUCAAAUAUAUAAAGAACUUUGUCAAAUCUACAAAAAUGUGGCUCAAUUCCCAGUUGGUUAAUGGUCAUAGGAUAUGAACAGGCAAUUUUUCAAUGAAGAAAUAAAAAUAAUUUAUAGUGAUAUGAAAAAUGCUCUAAAUCAUUA